rnacentral:rRNA from 1 species
GGAUGAACGCUAGCGGCAGGCCUAACACAUGCAAGUCGAGCGGUAGAGGUCCUUCGGGAUCUUGAGAGCGGCGCACGGGUGCGUAACGCGUAUGCAACCUACCCUCUACAGGGGAAUAGCCCGUCGAAAGGCGGAUUAAUGCCCCAUGGCUCCUUUGAGAGGCAUCUCUUAAGGGAUAAAGAUUCAUCGGUAGAGGAUGGGCAUGCGUGCCAUUAGCUUGAUGGUGGGGUAACGGCCCACCAUGGCUACGAUGGCUAGGGGUUCUGAGAGGAAGGCCCCCCACACUGGGACUGAGACACGGCCCAGACUCCUACGGGAGGCAGCAGUGAGGAAUAUUGGUCAAUGGGCGGAAGCCUGAACCAGCCAUGCCGCGUGCGGGAAGAAGGCGCUACGCGUCGUAAACCGCUUUUGUCCGGGGGUAACCGCGGGGACGUGUCCCCGCCUGCAAGUACCGGACGAAUAAGGGUCGGCUAACUCCGUGCCAGCAGCCGCGGUAAUACGGAGGACCCGAGCGUUAUCCGGAUUCAUUGGGUUUAAAGGGUGCGUAGGCGGCCCGGUCAGUCAGCGGUGAAAGGCUCCUGCUCCACAGGAGAGCUGCCGUUGAUACUGCUGGGCUAGAAUCUUAGCGAGGCGGGCGGAAUGCGCGGUGUAGCGGUGAAAUGCAUAGAUAUCGCGCAGAACGCCGAUUGGGGAGCCAGCUCGCCAGCUGAGUAUUGACGCUGAGGCACGAAAGCGUGGGGAUCAAACAGGAUUAGAUACCCUGGUAGUCCACGCCGUAAACGAUGAUAGCUCGCUCUUGGCCCGCAAGGGUCAGGGGCUUAGCGAAAGCGUUAAGCUAUCC